rnacentral:rRNA from 1 species
CACGUAGGGCGCAAGCGUUGUCCGGAAUUAUUGGGCGUAAGAGCUCGUAGGCGGUUUGUCGCGUCGAAUGUGAAAAUCCAGGGCUCAACCCUGGACCUGCAUUCGAUACGGGCAGACUAGAGUUCGGUAGGGGAGACUGGAAUUCCUGGUGUAGCGGUGAAAUGCGCAGAUAUCAGGAGGAACACCGGUGGCGAAGGCGGGUCGCUGGGCCGAAACUGACGCUGAGGAGCGAAAGCGUGGGGAGCAAACAGG